CGAACGCUGGCGGCAGGCUUAACACAUGCAAGUCGAGGGGCAACACGGGUAGCAAUACCUGGUGGCGACCGGCGCAAGGGUGCGUAACGCGUGAGCAACAUGCCCUAUACAGGGGGAUAAUCCAGGGAAACUUGGUCUAAUAUCCCAUAGUAUUUAGAGGUGGCAUCACCACUAAAUUAAAGCUUCGGUGGUAUAGGAUUGGCUCGCGUGACAUUAGCUGGAUGGUGGGGUAACGGCUCACCAUGGCGAUGAUGUCUAGGGGUUCUGAGAGGAAGGCCCCCCACACUGGGACUGAGACACGGCCCAGACUCCUACGGGAGGCAGCAGUGAGGAAUAUUGGACAAUGGAUGGAAAUCUGAUCCAGCCAUGCCGCGUGCAGGAAGACAGCCCUAUGGGUUGUAAACUGCUUUUAUAUGGGAGCAAUAAGGUCUACGUGUAGACUGAUGAGAGUACCAUAUGAAUAAGCAUCGGCUAACUCCGUG
rnacentral:rRNA from 1 species